UACGUAGGGUGCAAGCGUUAAUCGGAAUUACUGGGCGUAAAGGGCGCGUAGGCGGCCUGUGCAAGUCAGUUGUGAAAUCUCCGGGCUUAACUCGGAACGGUCAACUGAUACUGCUCGGCUAGAGUGCAGAAGGGGCAACUGGAAUUCUUGGUGUAGCGGUGAAAUGCGUAGAUAUCAAGAGGAACACCUGCGGCGAAGGCGGGUUGCUGGGCUGACACUGACGCUGAAGCGCGAAAGCUAGGGGAGCGAACGGG
rnacentral:rRNA from 1 species